CUUUUCUAGGGCCACAUCCAUGGCAUAUGAAGGUUCCCAGGCUAGGGGUCUAAUUGGAGCUGUAGCCGCCGGCCUACACCAGAGCCACAGCAAUGCGGGAUCCAGCCGCAUCUGCAACCUCCACCACAGCUCACGGCAACACCAGAUCCUUAACCCACUGAGCAAGGCCAGGAAUCGAACCUGCAACCUCAUGGUUCCUAGUAAGAUUCAUUAACCACUGAGCCACAACGGGAAAUCCCCAGAUGUCAAAUUAUAAUGCUGUCCACCUAAAAGUCACAUAAUAAAAAUUACAUAAUUCCUAAGACAGUGAGCAGGAAUAACUGCUUAGAAAACCCAUGAAGAGAAAGUCAGUUUGCACUAUAUAGACAAAAAGUUUCAGCUUCUUCUUUUCCCUCAUUUCCGAAUCUCUUAUGGAAGCCUGCACACCUCGGUUUUACCUGCCAUUUCAGAACAACACAUAAAACUACAGAAUGAUUCCUGGUAUAAAGUGCAGCACUUGGAAAGCAUGAAGUAGACGCUGAGGUUUGAGAUGCGGCAGAAAGGAGAAGUGUUCUUGGUGUCAAAUUUUUAAUUAUUUCCUCUGCUUCUAUACAAGGUGAAGCUAUUUUCUGCUUCUCUGUCUCUAGUUAGUUCUCAGGGACGGUCCAUGCUCAAGCUGGCAGACACCUGUCAGGCUCAAAGAUCUUUUUCAUGAUGAAUCCCCAGAAUUUUGUGAUGAGGCGUUGUCCCCAGUGCAGAUAUUCAGCUAAGGAGGCUCAUUUUCAGAUUUCCUGGGAUGUUUAUUACCUUCUGAUACUUGCUUACCUUUGGACAGCUUUACAACUGGUUGAGCAAAGUCAAUCUCUCAUGGUCUAAACUUACUUUUUUAAAACCAUGCUUUGAACUUGCUCAAGCCAGAAAUGAAGUUGAAGAAGAAAAACAAAACACAACAAAACCCCAUAAGAGAACCAACCUGUCUUGCUCAGUGAAACACAGCCAGAAAGUCAGUUAUAGCAGUUAGAAAGAUAUCAAGCAUAAAGAAUUAAAAGUCGGGAGUUCCCGUCAUCCAUCUAGUCAAGAAGGCAAAAUGCUUUUUUUUUCUUUUUUUUUUUUUUUUUUUUUUGCUUUUUAGGGCCACGUUCAGGGCAUAUGGAAAAAAAGAAAAAAAAAAUCUGUCCAUGUCCCCAGCCCUAGACGCACUGUCUAGGACUAGGGACUGUCAUCUAAGUGAGCAUCCUGCGCUGCGCAAUUAGAAGCAGCAGGGAGAAUCCUGCCAGGGAGGAUUUUACCAACUUUGAAAGGGCGGUUUACAGUGCUCUGUGGUGAUUUACCUGUAAAAUGUGCUAAAGCCCAUCUCCUUAGAGCAAAG
rnacentral:lncRNA from 1 species